UGCAGAGGAGAUGGCCCUGAGCCUGAAUGCUGGAAGGCCAAUGGCUGAGGGAAUUCCUGGAGGGACUUCAUCAGAGCCAGUCACUCCAGAAGAUUUAAGUGCCUUCAUAAAAUAUUCUGAUGGUAAAAUUAGUCUUUUGGAGCCUCCUGUCCCAACAGAACCACAGGCAGUUGAUGAUGGGGAUGAAGAAACAGUUUCUGCUGCCACAGAGAUGCCUACAGAGGUAAUGUUAAUAUUAUGUGUCUAUCAAACAAUCUACACAUUCACAUUUCUUCACCUUUUUUAUGUGGAGUAGCCUAUAGAAUCUAAGUUUAAAUCUAAGUAUAAACAGGUAUUUUUAUCUCUCCCCAGAGUGUGGAAGAACAGCAAGAGGAUGGUCCAUCAACUUCUGGUGCACAGAUGAACACAGUUCAGUGAUUUUUUUUUUUCAGUAAAUGCCACAGUUUAAUAUUGUAGAAUUUUAGAACUACAUGAUGUAACUGUAAUCUACUGUAUUUUCAGUUGCCAGUUAAGGAGUUAUAUAGACUUCUUCUUAUUAAAAAGAUAGAAAAAAACAGCAAAGAACUUGUAUACUUGGACCGCCAGAUCCAAAAGGCAGAUCUGGAAAUUGAGAUUCUGAAACUAAAGCUAGAGGUGAGUGCAUGGUCACAGGUGAAUUCUAAGUAUUGAAAAUAUAUUAAAUUCUAUUUUUUUUUUUAUGUUUAGGAAAUAAAGAACACCAUAUAAAUUGCUGUGAUUUUGUGUUUAUUCAUUUUUAUUUUAUUUUGUGGUUGGUUGGUUGUGGUGGUGGAUAUAAUGUGUAUUAAUCUGUGAAGACAUUUCGGCAUAUCAUAUCCCGGACUACCCUUCCCUCCUGGAAAUCUGCCGGGUUGAUGGGGUCUUCCUCUGGGUCUUGU
ensembl:lncRNA